rnacentral:lncRNA from 1 species
GGAUCUGCAUGGAAGAAUUCUUCUUGUGUAAUACUUUUCUUGUUGAUGGCCAUGCUAGCCACUUCUCUAGUGAUAUGAACAAGAAUUUGCCACCUUUUUGAUUGCGUGCUCGAAAAUUUUGGGCAUCUGCAGCCGUGGGGUUCAUUCUCAAAGAUAUCCUUUAACGCUUUUCGUGGGUUAACAUAAAUCCCUUUGAUUUCGCUCUUUUUCUUAUAUGAGAGCGCCUUUUUUCUUCAAAGAGGAUCUCAUUUUCAUUUUCUUAAAAGAUUUUCUUCCCUAUAAUAGGAGAGUCUUCCUUAAGGAUGAGGUCAAGAAAGGUGCUCCUUCAAUGGAAAACACUUCUGAGUUUCACCUCUUCCUUUUUCAAUGAACAAGGAUCUAAUGUUGAAAAUCUUCUUAUGUUGGUUUCUUCAAAACUUUCUCUUGCUCUUUUUUCAAGAAAAAACUUUUACGAAGGGGAAUAAUGUAUGUUUUCAUAUAGGCUUUUUGAUCAUGUGGUACACUUGUUAAAGUAUGGUUUCCUACGAAUGGUGAUAAUCUAUUGACUUUGGAUUUAGCAAAACACGUAGCUGACAGAUCUCUACUCUACUAUCAUCCACGUUUAUGUUACUUGCACAUUUAGACCAAGUGGUAGAUGCACAUGGGCUAUAUCCCUUGGAAUAGGAGAGACAAUCGCGGGCACUGCGACUCUCAAGUCAAUCAACGAUUGAAGGUAAUUUAUUGGGUAUAAGAGAUAAUGACCUCGUGAUAGAUCCUGUUGAAGAGCAAGCAAUCAGUUUGCAAUAUCAUAGUGGCAUUUAGAAUUGCAUUGCCUUUAAAAAAUACUGCUUGUGAGCUUUUCUACUAUGAGAGGAGGAGAUGUCCGCUGAAUGGUUGACCUGGGGCCUCAUCCUAAUAGCAAAUGGGUAAGCUGGACAUGUAUCCAUCCUAGUUGUCCUAAGCCUGUAGAUAAGCAAAUGGAUAAGCUUGACAUGCAUGUACCUAGGCAGCUAUGGGCAUAGCGGUGACCAUGCAUAUGGGCGAUCGGGUAAUGGAAUUUACGGAAUUUUGCAUUCCUAGCAGUAUCCACCCAAUUGUAAAUAUGAAGUGUUUUGACUCUACUGUACAGGGAUAACUCUUGGUAAGCAUUGUUUCACAC